rnacentral:snRNA from 1 species
GCUGAAAAAUUCAGUCUCA